GAUGACUGUGGCACAAUGCUCGUUUAUGACAACCAAUUUGACGGAAGAAGAAGAGAGAAGCAGGGGAAUGGAAAAAGAGGUGUAGGCUGCACCUUGACUGCAGCAACCCCCUUGGUGUUGGUGAUAGUGGCUCAGGCCCUCGAUGGUCUGAGCACGAUCGAUGACGGCAGCCAUUCCAAUGAAAGAGAGGAAGAAACAAGAAUAGGGGAGGCUCAAUCCAUCAUGAAAUUUGGUAAUCGCCGGUCUUAAUUAUGAGCAAUAGAGAUAGCUUAGAAAUUAGAAAAGAACGAAGAGGUAGUAGUCUUUACAUCAUCUUUAGCAAGAAAUCGAUGGUGAUUUACAGAGGGAUACUCAAUGGAAAUCUAAAGAAAUCGAAGGGAUCUUGCCGAUGAUUGAUUGGAGACUAGGAGUGGGAUGAUUAGAGCUGGAGAAGAGGUUUUUAUAGACCCAUAGCUGGAGUCCGAUCGAUGGCCCUUCAAAGUCCUUCUUAUGAUGGGAUCGAAGAAGAAGUAGACUUCCAUCGGGAUUCUUCUUCUUCAUUUUUUUUUUAAGUCAUGCCAAGAUUCGUGCAGAAUCUAAGCAUAUCCUAUCCCCUAGGCCAAAUUAUUACAGACCAAGUCAUGAAAAAAAAUGAUCAUUCUUUCGUGCGAAAGAUACAACUUGAAAAUGUCAAAGAAACAAGAUCCUAUACAUACACACACACAUUCGUAUAUUUAUAUGCUAGAAGAUAUGA
rnacentral:lncRNA from 1 species